UUUUUCUUUUUCAGAUGGGGAAAUAAAUGCCUCAACAAGCUCCACAGAUUGCCCCGAGACUCUGAGGAGGCCCUGCC
rnacentral:lncRNA from 13 species